rnacentral:rRNA from 1 species
UACGUAGGGGGCGAGCGUUGUCCGGAUUUAUUGGGCGUAAAGAGCUCGUAGGCGGUUCGGUAAGUCGGAUGUGAAAUCUCCACGCUCAACGUGGAGGGGCCAUUCGAUACUGCCGUGACUCGAGUCCGGUAGGGGAGUGUGGAAUUCCAGGUGUAGCGGUGAAAUGCGUAGAUAUCUGGAGGAACACCGGUGGCGAAGGCGGCAUCCUGGACCGGUAUUGACGCUGAGGCGCGAAAGCUAGGGGAGCAAACGGG